AAGGUCAGAGUCGUCCGGUUGGGAUUGCGUGUGUUCGAUGCAACACGCAUGUGGUCAUGAAUGUGGAGAAUCACCUCUUGUUAUUGCACGCCAGUGUCUGCCUUCAACUAAGAAAUCAGCAGUUCUGAUAGAUGAGUGAAGGUUAACAGACAUUUGAUAUGAGGCUUAGUGAGAAGGAGGAGGAAGAGGAAGAGGAAGAGGAGGGAGUCUGGAAACAGGAAGAGGAGCCUCAGGUAGAGCUCACUGCACUGAUGCACCUCCAUGGAUGGAUGAAUUAGUGGAUGAAUGGAACAUUCAAAUGGACAUAAAUAAGUUGGGAUACCUAAACAGGUUCAUAUGGCAAGCCGAAUUGUCAUUUAUUUGUUUGACCAUCCGGAAUUUACAUUGUAGAUAUCAACAACUUCAUUCAAGAUAUCUGUAAUGUAGUUGUGACUAGUCGAAACGACAGUUGGAAAUAUCUGUCAUUCAGUUUUGACUAGGCGAAACUUAAUUGCAGAUAUCUGCAACACAUAUCCAGUCUAGCGAAUUUAUGUCAAAUCGGCUUGCCAUAGGUUCAGAGAUAAUUAGGCAGUUGACAACAUAACAAGUUUUGAUGAAUGACUUGGCCAUCGCUUCUGUUCCGUUUCCAUCAAACUUAGUUUAGUUUGUUUCAUCAUGUGACACAUGGACACAUGUUCGUGUACACACACACACACACACACAGACACACACUUUCAUAGUAUCAAGGCCCUAACCUUAACUCCUUAACCAGCACUGCCCUUCUAAAAGUGAAAGAAGACUUCCCCUUAUAAUUUACAUAAAGCUAUUCAUGAAGCGUAGGGGCCAUCAGGUGCAUCCUGGGAACUAGAUGGAUGACGUGGCCAGGGAUGCUUCAGUGACUAUGGUCACACUAUUAUUUACAUGCUUAUGUUUAGUGCAAUAUAAUAAAUAUUAGAGAUGACCGAAACAUUAAUUGAAUAAAGUGAUAUAUGGGAAUGGAAAUUAGAACGCAGGUUUGUCUUGGUUCAUGGUUAGACAACCACCAUGAAGGUGGAUUGAAUUCUGGCAUAUAGUAUGUUUGUAGGGAGAUUAUAUAUAGUUCAUAUCAUGUCACUCUCAUGUGAGGAUUUUCUGCAUUCAAUAUUUUUUUCUGAACAGUUGAGAUCUGAAGUGAUUCUUACAGACACCAGCAGAUGGCAUCACUUCACAGCCUUUGGGGUGAAAAGCAAAACUUAGUUCCCUCUGUCACGUUCAUUGCCACAUCAAUCCAACGUAUCGCAUCUUUUAUCAAGUUAAGAAAUCGACCAAUCAAACACUUUUUCAUUUGAAGAGCGGGAGACAAUUUUUUUUCAAAUGCAAUGACUUUUAUUGAGUGAACUUUUCUCAACACAACGUACAGAAAGGUUCAUAGAAAGGUAUCUAUUCGUGAAUUCACACAAAAGCCCUUUAGACCACAAAAUCACCCUUCUGUUGCACAAGCAGCAAGCAA